rnacentral:rRNA from 1 species
CGGCAGGCUUAACACAUGCAAGUCGAGCGGAAACGAUGGGAGCUUGCUCCCAGGCGUCGAGCGGCGGACGGGUGAGUAACGCGUAGGAAUCUGCCCAGUAGAGGGGGAUAGCCCGAGGAAACUCGGAUUAAUACCGCAUACGCCCUACGGGGGAAAGGCCGGGAUCUUCGGACCGGUCACUAUUGGAUGAGCCUGCGUUGGAUUAGCUAGUUGGUGGGGUAAAGGCCUACCAAGGCGACGAUCCAUAGCUGGUCUGAGAGGAUGAUCAGCCACACUGGGACUGAGACACGGCCCAGACUCCUACGGGAGGCAGCAGUGGGGAAUAUUGGACAAUGGGCGCAAGCCUGAUCCAGCCAUGCCGCGUGUGUGAAGAAGGCUCUAGGGUUGUAAAGCACUUUCAGUAGGGAGGAAGGCCAAAAAGUUAAUAGCUUUUGGAUUGACGUUACCUACAGAAGCAGC